AACAAAUAAAUUCAGUAAACUUUCAAAACACGAAAUGAACAUGCAAAAAAACAAUUAAAUUUAUAUACACCAAAAAUGAACAAUACCAAAAGGAAAUUAAGAAAACAAUUCCAUUUAAAUGGUAUCAAAAAGAAUACUCAGGAAUAAACUUAGCCAAGAAGACAAAAGACUGUACACUGAAAACUACAAAAAGAUUCUGAAAAAAAUUAAAGAAGAUGCACAUAAGUGGAAAGAUAUCCACAGGAAACUUCUCCAGGCAGCCUUGAACCAACCCAGUUCUUCCACUAUUCUCACUUGUAGUUCUCAAGAAUAACUGUAGAAUGUACUGGGAAUGCAACACACGAAUAUAGGAGGAAGUGACUGGAAGGCUCUGUUCCAGUCUCCUCUAGACACAGGAUGUCCUUUUUCUGAAGAAAAUAAAAAUUUUCAACAAACCACUGUCUCACAUUAGGAAAAACUGUCACCAGCAGUGGAGCAAGGGAUUGUGAAACUUAAAAAAAAAAAAAAAAGUUUUGCAAUCUGAAUUCUGCAUCAAGAUGGCUUUCAUAAUUAAAAAAAAUUCCUGUGGCAUUCUAAAUUUGAUAGUUUUAAGAAUCCUGUUGGAAUGGUUUUUUAUCAUUCAUCACUCAUGUGUGUCAUAUCAUUAUGACAACUCAUUUAAGAACAUGUUUCCAUUCCAAUAAAAAGAACUGCCUAGUAUUGGCUAUUUUCUCACUGUGUUUAAGUUUUUAUCUUUCUUUAAGUUAUUUCCUCCCUUUUGGGAGGAAUCCAGCAUGUAAACAGAACCAAAGACAAAGAACCACAAGGAAAAAGAAAGCUUCCUUCGCUCCCUCCAUCUGUUUUUACUGCCUGCCUGCAAUUGUCUUCCUUUAAAAAAUAAGAUAGGCAUAGUU
rnacentral:lncRNA from 1 species